rnacentral:ncRNA from 1 species
CAAUCACGCCAGCGAUGGUGUGAUGAAUUGUAAGAAGUCAGCAGAAGCCAUAGUAGCUCUACGGAGUGAAGGGC